rnacentral:rRNA from 1 species
AGUGAACGCUGGCGGUAGGCCUAACACAUGCAAGUCGAACGGCAGCACAGGAGAGCUUGCUCUCUGGGUGGCGAGUGGCGGACGGGUGAGGAAUACAUCGGAAUCUACUCUGUCGUGGGGGAUAACGUAGGGAAACUUACGCUAAUACCGCAUACGACCUACGGGUGAAAGCAGGGGACCUUCCGGCCUUGCGCGAUUGAAUGAGCCGAUGUCGGAUUAGCUAGUUGGCGGGGUAAAGGCCCACCAAGGCGACGAUCCGUAGCUGGUCGUGAGAGGAUGAUCAGCCACACUGGAACUGAGACACGGUCCAGACUCCUACGGGAGGCAGCAGUGGGGAAUAUUGGACAAUGGGCGCAAGCCUGAUCCAGCCAUACCGCGUGGGUGAAGAAGGCCUUCGGGUUGUAAAGCCCUUUUGUUGGGAAAGAAAUCCAGCCGGCUAAUACCCGGUUGGGAUGACGGUACCCAAAGAAUAAGCACCGGCUAACUUCGUGCCAGCAGCCGCCGUAA